GACGAACGCUGGCGGCGUGCUUAACACAUGCAAGUCGAACGGAAAGGCCCUGCUUUUGUGGGGUGCUCGAGUGGCGAACGGGUGAGUAACACGUGAGUAACCUGCCCUUGACUUUGGGAUAACUUCAGGAAACUGGGGCUAAUACCGGAUAGGAGCUCCUGCUGCAUGGUGGGGGUUGGAAAGUUUCGGCGGUUGGGGAUGGACUCGCGGCUUAUCAGCUUGUUGGUGGGGUAGUGGCUUACCAAGGCUUUGACGGGUAGCCGGCCUGAGAGGGUGACCGGCCACAUUGGGACUGAGAUACGGACCAGACUCGUACGGGAGGCAGCAGGGGGAAGUAUUGCACAAUGAGCGGAAGCCUGAGGCAGAAACGCCGCGUGCGGGAUGACGGCCUUCGGGUUGUAAACCGCUUUCGCCUGUGACGAAGCGUGAGUGACGGUAAUGGGUAAAGAAGCACCGGCUAACUACGUG
rnacentral:rRNA from 1 species